rnacentral:rRNA from 1 species
AUGGCGUCGACCUCUCGCCGUAUGGUUGCGUCCGUCCUCUUGGUCCUUCUUCUCCUCGUCGCCACAGAGAUGGGGACGAUGAGGGUGGCGGAGGCGAGGCACGGGCACAGGCACUGCGAGUCGCAAAGCCACAGGUACCGCGGAGCGUGCUGGAGGGACGACAACUGCGAACACGUCUGCAACACCGAGGGCUUCCCUUGGGGCAAGUGCAAGUUCCACGACUUCGAAAGGAAGUGCUUCUGCAAGAAACCGUGCUAG